GAUGAACGCUGGCGGCGUGCCUAAUACAUGCAAGUCGAGCGAAUGGAUUGAGAGCUUGCUCUUAUGGAGUUAGCGGCGGACGGGUGAGUAACACGUGGGUAACCUGCCCAUAAGACUGGGAUAACUCCGGGAAACCGGGGCUAAUACCGGAUAACAUUUUGAACCGCAUGGUUCGAAAUUGAAAGGCGGCUUCGGCUGUCACUUAUGGAUGGACCCGCGUCGCAUUAGCUAGUUGGUGAGGUAACGGCUCACCAAGGCAACGAUGCGUAGCCGACCUGAGAGGGUGAUCGGCCACACGGGGACUGAGACACGGCCCAGACUCCUACGGGAGGCAGCAGUAGGGAAUCUUCCGCAAUGGACGAAAGUCUGACGGAGCAACGCCGCGUGAGUGAUGAAGGCUUUCGGGUCGUAAAACUCUGUUGUUAGGGAAGAACAAGUGCUAGUUGAAUAAGCUGGCACCUUGACGGUACCUAACCAGAAAGCCACGGCCAACUACGUGCCAGCAGCCGCGGUAA
rnacentral:rRNA from 1 species